ensembl:lncRNA
UUUCCUUUCUUUUUCUUUUCUUUUCUUUUCUUUUUUUUUUUUUUUUUUUUUUUCUUCUGUGAACUCCUGUUGCUUUUCUUACAUGAGUGUUUCCUGAGUGAAUAAAUGAAUGAAUUGUGAUAAGGGAGGCUAGCAAUCUCCAAAAUCCCAUUCCUUGGAAUAUUUUCCCUCAGCCGGAUCCUAUAGGAAUUGACCUAUACUUUUGGCCAGAGUGGGUCUCAUCAUCUAUUUCUACUGGAUAGGUUUUCUGCCUACCCUCUAGUGCUUAUUAAUGAAUUUAAACACAGUAUCAAAUGAUCCUGCAACAUGGCUAGAAGCAGGUGCUCUGGAAAUCAGACUUGGGUAAUACAAAACCCUGCUGUUGGAGCCUUCUUCCAAAAAUCCUGGGCCAGGAGCACUGUACUGAUCUUACUAAUUGUUUCUGCCUGCUGCCCUUCAGAUUCCCCAAUUCUUUACGGUUUUUUCCACAAAUGGGAGAAUGACCAAUAUUUUAAGACUUACAAAUUUAAAAGGCCCAAUCUACUUGAGGGAUCAAAAGGAUUUAAAAGGAAAAAUAAAUGGAUAUUCCAAAGUCUCUUAGUGGCAGAGCUCUCCUUGAAUUUCCCCAAUCCUUUUUAACAACCCCCUUUCCACUCAAUCAUUCCUCCCCCUUCAACCUAAUCUAAGUACACAGAGCUGCUGCAAACCACAGUAAAAGUAGAAGUAAUUCAAAAGACAUCAUCUUCUUCGUGGGAGGGGAGAAAGUUUCCCAUUCGCUGGUCCUAUAUAGGAGAUAUACGAAUUCGUGACAUAGCUGCUCCCUAAAAGAGGGCUGUGCCCUAUAAAUCACAUCCUAAGCACCAACCCUUUUUGUGCACAGAGAAAUUGCGUUGGGUCAGGGGCUGCUCCGGAGCACGUGCCCUCCUGUUCGCUUGUCAUCAGAGAUGUUAACAUCUCUGAUUAAUUCACAUACCUCUUAUUUUAUUCCUCAUUUCUUUAUCCUUGCUCUCCUGUUCUACUGCAGUGUGAAGAUUCUUACCGACCUGCUACUGUAAUCACCGCCUGCUAACUGCACCCCCCAAACCUAGUGAAAUUGUUUAGUGAUGCCAACCGCGCUUUUAAUUUGCAAGACAUCAGACACAGAGGUAAUUUAUACCAACAUCUGUUCAUUUUUGACUUCUGAAACAAACUCGCACAUGCUGCUACAAAAUCCCAUUAGGAGUAGGGACACAGCCUUCUGCUACUAUUCUGUAUUCCUCUUCUACACACACACACACACACACACACACACACACACACACACCCCUACCUUCUAGUAGGGUUUUAUAUGUAAAUUCAUUUUACUAAAAAACUCCCACCAAGGAUUUCAAAUCUCUUUGGGGAAAAAAAACCUUUCGAGAAGUCUACAGCUCGCUUACAGAGGACAGGAAGGUAUUUCUAUUUCCUCCUGCCUAGUUCCAGUCCUUCUUCCCAACAGUUAUGGUUUGUUGUAAUUCCUGCAUCAGUGGCCAUGGUAAGAUUACAUGCUCCUCAGGUUGGCACUUCAAAUUCCUGCCUUGUCUCUUGGUUCUUUUUUUCCCACACUGUGUUCAAGGACCGUCCUAGAGACAAUAAGAUCGCUAGAGAGUUUUAUCUGGAGUCAACAACAUUUCUUAACUAUUUUCUAAUUCUGGAUUAACUCGCUAGGAUUAUAAAAUUCAAUGGGAAGGCAUCACUGCUACCACAUUCUAAUCACCACGCAAGCAGGAUCCACUGGUCCUCAGCCAUCACAGUGAGUGCUGUGCAGGAGAGAAGUCAGACCCCCUCGUAAAGUCAUGACUUACAGGCCCUCCUAUGCUGGGCACCGACCACAGACUGAGAAAGCCACAAUCAAGACUAUUGCCACAGGGUGAACAUGCGAACUGCUGCAGAGCAUGGCACAGGGGACAACGUGUACACAUUUAGAGACGGCAAGUGGAUAGACUACAAGCAACUUGCAGGUUGAUGCAGUUUCUGUCACCCACUUUGUCGUUUCCCUAGGGCUGUCAGGCUCGUGGCAGCUGUAAAUACUGGGGUAUAUUUUAGAGAGGUCAGGGCUGAAGGGAGGACUCCAUCCUGCUUGCUGUGGAGGUGGCGUGUGCUUUAAUAUAAUCUCUUCUUUCGACUCUCCAAUUCCUCCAUCCUACAUUUAGCCUUGCCUCUGGCUCCCUUUCCACAAUGACUAUCCCCAAACUGCCUUCUCUGCAGUAAAUUUUCUGGUGGCUGGUUGAAAAAGAUGCAGUGGUACAGAUUGAUUUCUCACCGAUGAGGGGAUGAGGGAUUACCAGAGGCACCCUGGCUAACGAGAUUGGGUGCAGAACCUCUCACGAGACCGGCCCUCUCUGCCAGGUUUUGCACCUUUCACCCAUGACAUAUGGGUUUCAUUACGGAAAGACUUUCCAGAUUAUAACUUUGAGGCAAUUGCCUGAUAAAAUUUUGCUUGGCUCUCAUAUAGGGAACAAUGUAAAGACUGAGUAACUUCUAAUGAAAUGGAAGAAACUCAUAAUGUUUGGUUUUCAAUUUUUUUUUGGUCCUUUUCCUUAGGGCCACACCGGAGGCAUACGGAGGUUCCCAGGUUAGAUGUCAAAUUGGAGCUGCAGCUGCCAGCCUAGGCCACAGCCACAGAUUCGAGCUGGAUCUGUGAACUACGCCAUAGCUCAUGGCAAUGCCGUAUCCUGAACCCACUGAUCGAGGCCAGGGAUCAGCCCCGCAUCUUCAUGGAUACUAGUCAGGUUUCUACUGAGCCACAAUGGGGACUCUGUGGUUUCAAUUCUAAUGCAAACUACUUUAAAUAUUUCUGAGCCUCGACAUAAUUAAAACAUUAGUGUGGUAGAGAAGAGUUAAUCUCCACUGGUUCUCUCACAUCUUGAAGAGCAACAACAGGCUGUUCAGGAAACUAAUAAGAGUGGUCAAGAAACAAAGGACACAGAGCAACGCUUUUUAGCUUCUAGAUUUAGACAGGCUUGAAUUUAAACCCCAGCUUCUACACUGGCCCUGGACCACUGCGGGCAAGUUGCCCAAGUCAUCUCUCUGAAUUUCAGUCUCCUCAGAUUGCAGACUAUACAGAUUAACAGCUAUGCACAAAAAAGUUAUAAAAUUGCCCUGGGUUUUACAGUGAUAAAGUGAAAAACAUUAAAUUCUUCCAACUGAAGAAGGUACGGAAGGAUUUUUUUGUUGUUGUUUUCUGUUAAACAAUGAGAGCAAAAUAAUUUACUGGAAUAUCAAAGCCAAGAGCUAAAUAAGCAGGCCACUAGCAGAGAAAGGGAGGACUGUCACAGAGCCAGAAUUCUGCCCCAUUUGUUGGUGAGCAAAACACAGCACUGGUCAUUUAGCUUUAAAAAAAAAAAAAAAAUGGCAAUAUGCUGUGUACACCACUGCUUACUUUAAGCUUUAAGUAAAAUAAAGAAGUGAACAAUUACGAUGGAACACGUAAUGUGAGAAAAAAGAAUGUAUACACAUAUGUGUAACGGGGUCACCAGGCUGUACAAUAGAAAAAUUAUAUAUAUAAAUAAAUGAAAAAAAUAAAUUAAUUUAAAAAAAAGAAAAGAAAUGAGGAAGGGGCUUCUGAAAGAACAGAAAAAUCUGGGAGUUCCUGUUGUGGCUCAGCAGAUUAAGAGCUGGACCAGUCUCCGUGAGGAUGCAGGUUCAAUCUCUGGCCUCACUUAGCGGGUUAAGGAUCUGGCAUUGCCGAGAGCUGCAGUAUAGGUCGCAGAUAUGGCUGGGAUCGUCGCAGAUAUGGCUGAGAUCCAGCUGUGGCUCCAAUUCCAUUCCUAGCCUGGGAACUUCUACAUGCCACAGAUGUGGAUAUAAAAAUAAAAUAAUAAUAAAAAAGGAAUAGCGAAAUCAAUAGUAGUCAGGAUGCAGGAGAAGUAAACUGCAGCCUUCUGAUAAUGUCUUCUUGGUCUGCGGAACUGAGUUCUCAAGUAAACAGCAAACUCCUGUGGUAGCAGACACCUCCUGUCUGUUGCUAGGACACACUGACGAUGUCUUCAAACUCCAAACAACUGUGUGAGUUUGUCUGUUUCAUGAACUGGCUGCCCAUUAAACCAGAAUCUGAUCUACCUCACUGACAAACCCUGUCUUCACAGUAGGCCUUCAUUACUUUACUAAGUGACAUACACUUAAUCUUAAUCUGCGCUCCACAAAACUCCCCUGCCCGGCCACCUUCAAAUUUAACAUGAUGAUUGUUCUUAGUCUUUUUUUUGUUUGUUUUUUUGGCCUCACCUGUGACACACAGAAAUCCUGCAGCCACGGAUCAAACCCACAUUACAACAGCAACUCGAGUCACAGUAGUGACAUCAGAUCCUUAACCCACUGAGCCACCAGGGAACUCCUGGCCUUAGUCUUGAUGCCUUCCUUGGGUAUUUUGUUGGCCAUGGGAAACAGUGGUGUCUCCUCAGCUGCCACUUCACAGAGGAGGUACCAGGCUAGUACCGCAUGAGCACAUAAGCAGCAGCAGGAGUGGCCAAAAGUAGAUGAACUAUUUAUUUUUUAAAAGAUUUCAACUGCCAAACAAAGGUGAACAUGAAUGAUUCGCAUCUGUGUAACAUACAGAAGGAUCAAACCUGUGUAUUACUUACAAGCAGCUACCUUCCUUCAUUAUACCUGCAGCUUCUUCUAGCAUAAGGGAACACAUAAAACCCUAGGUAGUUUGGUUUAAAUCAGUGCACUAAAAAGUUAUCUAUAUAAUUAGCUUUAUGGAAGAUGUUAAGUAAAAAUUAUGCCAUUUAUUACAAUUAUGGCUUUGACUUUUCUUUAAAAACUUUUUUUUUGGUGCUCGAAAUGUUGAAUGUGUUCUACUAACUUUGAGGGAGCUCCUAGUCAUCAGUGUGUGCUGUCAGAAAGGCAGGAAGGGGUGAUGAAUGUUUAAUGAGUCAUGCGGAGAGCCUACCAUGUACUAGGUAUUAGGGAAAAUUCAAACAGAUGAGAAGUGGUCUUUGAGAUGGAGCUGGCUAGCUGUCACAGAUACCUUGGUAAAUUCAAGGAGAACAAAGGAAACCAAUGUGACUUAAGAAUGCUGAUUUCUCUCUCGCAGGAAUGUGGACGUUGUCCUGUCACUGUAGUACAGAGCUGGCAUGCAGCAGAGCAGUUCCAGGCAGUCUGCCAGACUGCAAUUCUUCACCAUGCUCCAGUUCAGACUUUGGCACAAAACGUACUACUAAGUGAUCAAUGAUUCAAGUCAAGGACUAAGCGCUUUUGAGAGUUCCCUCGUGGUGCAGCAGGUUAAGGAUCCAGUGACAUCACUGCAGCUACCUGGGUUGUGGCUGUGUGGUACGCAGGUUCAGUCCCUGGCCCAGGAAUUUCCAC